AGCGAACGCUGGCGGCAGGCCUAACACAUGCCAGUCGAACGAAGUCUUCGGACUUAGUGGCGGCCGGGUGAGUAACACGUGGGAACGUGCCUUUAGGUUCGGAAUAACUAAGGGAAACUUGUGAUAAUACCGAAUGUGCCCUUCGGGGGAAAGAUUUAUCGCCUUUAGAGCGGCCCGGGUCUGAUUAGCUAGUUGUGAGGGUAAUGGCCAACCAAGGCUACGAUCAGUAGUUGGUCUGAGGGGAUGACCAGCCACAUUGGGACUGAGCACACGGCCCAAACUCCUACGGGAGGCAGCAGUGGGGAAUCUUGCGCAAUGGGGGAAAGCCUGACGCAGCCAUGCCGCGUGGAUGAUGAAGGUCUUAGGAUUGUAAAAUCCUUCCACCGGUGAAGAUAAUGACUGUAGCCGGAGAAGAAGCCCCGGCUAACUUCGUGCCAGCCGCCGCCGUAAGAC
rnacentral:rRNA from 1 species